rfam:Ailuropoda melanoleuca scaffold575_168, whole genome shotgun sequence.
GGGUGAUCCAGCUGUAACAUCUGUCACUCAUCGAUCGCCAGGGUUGAAUCAGCUGAUCUGGCUGGCUAGGUAGGUGUCCCAAUAGAGGAAGGCCAUUCUUUAGUCAGGGAUACACGAGCAGCUACACGCCCUUCCUAGAACCUCGAACAAGCUCUCAAGGUCCAUUUGUAGGAGAAGGGAGGGUAAUCAAGUUUCCAAGACUCCAGACACAUCCAAAUGAGGGUCUACAUAUGAUAAUCUUCUUUUCUUU